GAUGAACGCUGGCGGCGUGCUUAACACAUGCAAGUCGAACGGAAAGGCCCAAGCUUGCUUGGGUACUCGAGUGGCGAACGGGUGAGUAACACGUGGGUGAUCUGCCCUGCACUUCGGGAUAAGCCUGGGAAACUGGGUCUAAUACCGGAUAGGACGAUGGUUUGGAUGCCAUUGUGGAAAGUUUUUUCGUUGUGGGAUGAGCUCGCGGCCUAUCAGCUUGUUGGUGGGGUAAUGGCGUACCAAGGCGUCGACGGGUAGCCGGCCUGCGAGGGUGUACAGCCACAUUGGGACUGUGAGGCGGCCCAGACUCGGACGGGAGGCAGCAGUGGGGAAUAUUGGACAGUGGGAGCCAGCCUGAGGCAGCGACGCCGCGUGGGGGAUGACGGCUUUCGGGUGGUAAACUCCUAUCGCUAGGGACGAAGCGUUUUUGUGACGGUACCUGGAGAAGAAGCACCGGCUAACUACGUG
rnacentral:rRNA from 1 species